rnacentral:lncRNA from 13 species
CAAGUGUAUGGCUCUGUGCUGAGGGAAGCGAGGGCUUCACAGCUGCCUUUGUAAACACUGUAUUUGUAAAGAAAAAAAAAAUCCUGGCCCAAUGCCACCUUUUCCCCCCGUGCACUGAGAACUGUUGCAGGUCCUUCCCCAGAGCCACAUCUGUGAAAGGCAGAACUGGCAGGAACAAUCCUCAAUGCACAAGUGCCUGGGAAGCUGGGCAGAUGACAAGCUCAGGGGAGCCAGGAGAAGAGCGGCCAAUCCAUCCUUCUCUUGGCAGAAACUUCAAGGCAGCAGAGCCUAAACAGACAUGGAAAGAAGGACCGUCUAUGGAGCGGAAUCAGUCUUCAGACUCCAAACGACACGAGAGAGAGUGUGGAAUGGUAGGGAAAAGCUGGAUACACCGGUUGCAACCCUGCCUCUGUAUCUUACUUUCCAAGUGUCCUUGACCUUGAGAAUUGAGGACAAGGGCCUAUCCAAUAUUUGGCCUGAAGUAAAAGAAAAGAACAAUGUAUCUUGCUAAAAAUAGUAGUGACAAUGGUGGUCACCAACAAAGGACAACUUUGCCAAGCAGAACGAUAAACUAAUGAGCGUUACAAGCAGCAGAGGCCUGAGGGUCAUAUGAGAAAGACCGAACAGAGCAGAGAGGAUCUGAACCGAAGAACCAAUCUGCUAUGGUCUGGAUGUCUGUGUCCUCUGAAAAAUUCGUAUGUGGAAACCAAUGACCAAUGUGAUGGUAUGAAGAGUGAGGCCUCUGGGAAGUGGCUAGAUCCCUCAUGAAUGAGGUAAGUGCUUUCAUAGAGGAGGCCUUCACAGCUGCCUUCCCUCUUCCACCAUGUGAGAAAAUAGCCAGAAGUCACCAUCCAUGAACAAGAGAGCAGAUCCUCACUGAGGCAGGAAAAUAGCGUCUGGAGGCAGGGAACAUAAGGCCAAUUCACACUUCAGCUAUAACGGGAAAUGUCCUCUCCAUAGGGUGAAUGCCGUAAACGACUGUAACUUUACUUCAUCCUCUUCAUUUACAUAGGGUGUACCCCAAGUAGAGGGUAUUUAAACUCACAAAAACUCUGCAAAGGACCUUUGAGCCCCCAUGCUCAGACCCGCUUCCACACCGUGGAGUGUACCUUCAUUUUCAAUAAAACUCUUUCUUCUUUCCUUGCUGUGUUUGUG